AGAACGAACGCUGGCGGCAUGCCUAAUACAUGCAAGUCGAACGAACACUGCGGUGUUAGUGGCGCACGGGUGCGUAACGCGUGGGAAUCUGCCCUUGGGUUCGGAAUAACAGUUGGAAACGACUGCUAAUACCGGAUGAUAUCGAAAGAUCAAAGAUUUAUCGCCCAGGGAUGAGCCCGCGUAGGAUUAGCUAGUUGGUGAGGUAAAGGCUCACCAAGGCGACGAUCCUUAGCUGGUCUGAGAGGAUGAUCAGCCACACUGGGACUGAGACACGGCCCAGACUCCUACGGGAGGCAGCAGUAGGGAAUAUUGGACAAUGGGCGCAAGCCUGAUCCAGCAAUGCCGCGUGAGUGAUGAAGGCCUUAGGGUUGUAAAGCUACUUUUUACCCGAGAUGAUAAUGACAGUAUGGAGAAGUAACGCCCGGACUAACCUACCGUCGCCACGCGAACGCCGAC
rnacentral:rRNA from 1 species